UACGUAGGGACCAAGCGUUGUCCGGAAUCAUUGGGCGUAAAGCGCGCGUAGGUGGCCAUUUAAGUCCGCUGUGAAAGUCAAAGGCUCAACCUUUGAAAGCCGGUGGAUACUGGAUGGCUAGAGUACGGAAGAGGCGAGUGGAAUUCCUGGUGUAGCGGUGGAAUGCGCAGAUAUCAGGAAGAACACCCGUGGCGAAGGCGGCUCUCUGGAACGGUACUGACGCUGAGACGCGAAAGCGUGGGGAGCGAACAGG
rnacentral:rRNA from 1 species